ensembl:lncRNA
UGUGGCAGAGGGGAGGGUUGUGUGGCAGAAGGGGAAGGGAAACAACAAGUGUUGUACACAGCAUGCAUUUGGUAGAUGUACAUAAUAUACAUGAUACAUAGAAAAACAGCUUAGUGGGAAUACACUGUGCUAAUAUGGUUACUGUUACAGGGGUAAGGAGAGUAGGAACAGAAAAACAUGUCGGUGGUGGCAAUAAUAUACAGUAUAUUGCAUAUAAAUGCUAGCAUAGGCUAUCGGGUAGAGUAAGUGUACGGCAGUGCGGUGGCGGUGGGUGCAAUUGGUCGAGGGUUUCUGCAGGUAGACCGGGUGGAGAGACUACAGCAGCGUCCCAUGGCGAAGAUAGUCUAGAUUAGGAGAGAAAGAAAAAGAACAGAGUGAGUGGGUUAUUAUAGGCAAGAAAGGAGAGGGAGAGGGAGAGAGAGAGAGAAAGAGGCUGCCUGGCUGGGUGUAUGGGGAUUUUAUUUAAUAUUUAGUUGGCUGGCGACAGUCGCAAUACGCGCCGUGUGCUGUACCCGGGAUCUUCCACACUCCUUCACGGUACAACAUACGCUGUCUGUAGCCCAGUUAUGUUGAUUAGGGGGGUAUUGCAUGUGUUUUAGAUGUGUUUAGCUAUGCUGGCAUUUAGCAUUUAGUUUGGUUUGGCAUUUAGUUUGGUUUAGCAUUAGUUAUGUUUAGUUAUGCUGCCAUUUAGCAAUUAGUUUGGUUUGGUACAUAUGGAGAUUUUAGUCUUAAGCUUUGUUAGGGUUGCAGGGUACAACAUACGCUGUCUGUAGCCCAGUGAUAUACUUUUUUUUUUUUUUAUUCUUAUGUGUUCAGUUAUGUCUAGUUAUGCUUGCUGACUGGCUGGCCCAGCAGGUGAUGGGUUUGUUGACGCAAUUACUUGUGGCUAUAGGAUGCACUAAAGAGGAAUGUCUUUAGUCUUGAUUUGAAUAUAGGUAGGGUGUCUGCAUCUCGGAUGGAGGCAGGGAGAUUGUUCCAGAGGAGGGGGGCUCGGUCAUUUAGGGCUUUGUAAGUUAGCAGGAGUACUUUGAAAUCAAUUCUACUUUUGACAGGGAGCCAAUGCAGAGAGGCAAGUACAGGUGAGAUGUGCUCAUAUUUUUUUGUUCUGGUGAGUGUACGGGCAGCAGCGUUCUGUAUAAGUUGGAGGCUCUUUAUUGAGUUGAUGCUGCAUCCGGACAGGAGAGCAUUGCAGUAAUCUAGUCGGGAAGUAAUAAAUGCGUGGAUUAGUUUUUCUGCAUCUUGGAGGGAUAGGACUUUUCUAAUUUUGGCAAUAUUGCGUAAAUGAAAAAAUGAUGUCUUUGAGAUCUGUUUUAUGUGUGAGUCAAAUAGGAGGUCAUGGUUGAUAGUUACACCAAGGUUUUUGAUGCUAGUAUUGGGUGUUGGGAUGCCAUCGAGUGUGGAUAGAUGGCUAGAUAGUGUCAUUCUCAAUUGAUCGGGGCCUACAAACAUAACUCAGUUUUAUCAGAGUUGAGGAGCAGGAAGUUGUUAGCCAUCCAAGAUUUUACAUCUUGCAGGCAAGUUUCUAUCUUGGGUAAAUGUACAAUUUCAUCAGGUUUCAUGGAUAGGAAG